rnacentral:rRNA from 1 species
UACGUAGGCAGCAAGCGUUUGUUCGGAGUUACUGGGCGUAAAGGGUGUGUAGGCGGUUCUUUAAGUUUGCUGUGAAAUCUCCCGGCUUAACCGGGAGGGUGCGGUGAAUACUGAGGGACUAGAGUACGGGAGAGGAAAGUGGAAUUCCUGGUGUAGCGGUGAAAUGCGUAGAUAUCAGGAGGAACACCGGUGGUGUAGACGGCUUUCUGGACCGUAACUGACGCUGAGACACGAAAGCGUGGGUAGCAAACAGG